rnacentral:rRNA from 1 species
UGGGGAAUAUUGGACAAUGGGCGAAAGCCUGAUCCAGCAAUGCCGCGUGAGUGAUGAAGGCCUUAGGGUUGUAAAGCUCUUUCGCCUGCGACGAUGAUGACGGUAGCAGGAGAAGAAGCCCCGGCUAAUUCCGUGCCAGCAGCCGCGGUAAUACGGAAGGGGCUAGCGUUGUUCGGAAUUACUGGGCGUAAAGCGCGCGUAGGCGGCUUGGCGAGUGAGGCGUGAAAGUCCUGGGCUCAACCCGGGGACGGCGCUUCAGACUGCCUGGCUGGAGUCCGGGAGAGGGUGGUGGAAUUCCGAGUGUAGAGGUGAAAUUCGUAGAUAUUCGGAGGAACACCGGUGGCGAAGGCGGCCACCUGGCCCGGUACUGACGCUCAAGCGCGAAAGCGUGGGGAGCAAACA